AUUGAACGCUGGCGGCAUGCCUUACACAUGCAAGUCGAACGGCAGCGGGGGAGAAGCUUGCUUUUCCUGCCGGCGAGUGGCGAACGGGUGAGUAAUACAUCGGAACGUGCCCUGUAGUGGGGGAUAACUAGUCGAAAGAUUAGCUAAUACCGCAUACGACCUGAGGGUGAAAGUGGGGGACCGCAAGGCCUCAUGCUAUAGGAGCGGCCGAUGUCUGAUUAGCUAGUUGGUGGGGUAAAGGCCUACCAAGGCGACGAUCAGUAGCUGGCCUGGGAGGACGCUCAGCCACACUGGGACUGAGAAACGGCGCAGACUCCUACGGGAGGCAGCAGUGGGGAAUUUUGGACAAGGGGCGAAAGCCUGAUCCAGCAAUGCCGCGUGUGUGAAGAAGGCCUUCGGGUUGUAAAGCACUUUUGUCCGGAAAGAAAUGGCUCUGGUUAAUACCUGGGGUCGAUGACGGUACCGGAAGAAUAAGGACCGGCUAACUACGUGCCAGCCGCCGCGGUAA
rnacentral:rRNA from 1 species